GCGGUGGUAGUUCAGUGGUAGAAUGUCUCCUUCCCAAGGAGAAGGUCGCCGGUUCGAGCCCGGUCUGCCGCUCCA
rnacentral:tRNA from 1 species